AUCAUCAACUCAUCUGAGAGCUGAUGAAGAUGAUACUACUUCCAUCGAACUAGGUGGAUCAAAAAUCUUAUCCCUUGGAUGAGGUGGUGGGCUCCAGCUAUGCUAAUCUCCUUAGCAUAAGGAUCUUUUUUUUAACUCAUUUUUCUUACUUGAAGUUGAUGUCCCUGACUUGAUGUAUUUUUCUUUGGCAGCUAGCCCACGAUGUCACUGUCCUUAGUGAAGGCCUCA
rnacentral:lncRNA from 1 species